GACCUGGGCUACACACGUGCUACAAUGGGCGGUACAAAGGGUCGCGAACCCGCGAGGGGGAGGCCAAUCCCAAAAAGCCGCUCUCAGUUCGGAUUGCAGGCUGCAACUCGCCUGCAUGAAGCCGGAAUCGCUAGUAAUCGCGGAUCAGCAUGCCGCGGUGAAUACGUUCCCGGGCCUU
rnacentral:rRNA from 1 species